rnacentral:autocatalytically_spliced_intron from 1 species
AGGAGCUGUGUACGAGGCCCGUAAGCACGGUUCUGUGAGAGAGAUUUUGCGGAGAGGAUCACUCUGCACUACAACUACUCGAU